AGGAGCUGCUGGGCGAAUAAUUGUGAUUGAAUUACUUAAAGGUUGGUUUGAGGUCCCAGAGUGUCCACUAGAUGGUGAAAGAGCCUUUAGGAAUGCUAGAUGAGAACCGUGAGAAUGAAGGGCAGAAAAGACACUUUCCUCAAAAUCCACAAAACAAAUGUCCUUUAUGGUUCAAGUCAAGGAGAGAGAGCGGUUCUCAGCCCCAUCACCGAUUUGGUGCACUUCUUCAGCUAAACAAUGAAGCUAUGGAUGAAACGUAAGGGCACGGUGUGAAAUUUGUAGUCCCCCCCCCCGUGAACAGCAGCCCUUUAUUCGGCUCUGAGUUCGGUGACACACCAGCACACGUAUUAGCACUAUUU